rnacentral:lncRNA from 1 species
UAAGUAUUUGUAAUCCCUGAAGGGAAAGGUACCAAGACCUUGGAGUCUUGAGCAUCAUCUUAGAGCAUCAGUAGCUGAACAGUUAACAUGUCUAAAUGUGUUUGUCCACAGUGUGUGCUAUAUGUAUAGAAUGUUUGUGUGUACUUAUGUAGAGUAUCUAAUAUACAUUGAAUGGUACCUUGCUGCAGAGUUUCUGACAUGGAGAAUUGUCUAGGACUACCCUUAGCAUUAGCUCUGCCACUGUUCCUGUUACAGGACUCACUAGUGUUGGCUCUAGAGCUUCUGGACAUGCUUAUAGAUAAUCAGAUCACAAAGGCACUUUUAAAGCUGUGGACUACUCUGUCUACAUCAUUUAUCUUGAAAAAUAACUGAAGCAGUCUUUUGUGAGUCAGAAUCCCAGCCUGCCCUAGUGUAAUGCUGUCUACCUUUGGGGAUAGGCUAAAAAUGUGUCUUCCCUGAGGCCUCUGGAAGGAUGCUGCAUUCUCAGAUCUGAUGGGACUCUAAGAGUCUGGCCCAUAGUCAGCCCCAUUUCUCCCACAGUAUUGAUUCCUAAGAAAUGGAAGGUGGUCCAUUGAACAGCUCUGCUAAGCCUGUUGCCCAGUACACGGUACCGGGAGCUCUUGUCCCUUUCCUUUCCAUGGUACUUCAUCCUGUCCCUCCUAUACCUACUGUCAUCCCUACCUCGGUGCCCUGGAGUCUUGGAAUUCCUCUCCAUAUGAUAAAGCAUUAUUUAUCUUACAUUAAUACCUUAAAGGAUGGUUCUUAGUAUUGAAAAUAUGAACAAGACAUCAAAAGACUUUGAUGAUAGUCUUGUUGAAAAACUGACCAUUGAAGUACCCCUUGUAUAAAAUCUGUGUGUAUCUUGGGCUUCACCCCUACCCCCACAUGCUAGCUUCUAAAAAGAUUUACCAGGAACCCAGUUUUAAAAAUUCUACUUAGAGUCCUUGUUUUAUUGGUAUAUCGUUAGCAUUUCUGAAAAUGUUUUUCUAAAAGUCUAUAUAAUUUAUCUAACUCUUAGUAAUGCCUAAUUAAGUCAACUGUUACUUAUUUAUGUUUCCAUUAUUCCAAAGGAAACCAGCAUGUAGAAGACUCCUCUGGUUGAAAUAGCUUAUAGGUUAUAUGUAACUUUUUAAAAUUGUGCUUAGAUAGAGCCAUUUUCUCAUGCAACGAUCUUGUAUAGUGUGUAAGGUGCUCUGUGCCCCUCUGUUUUUUCCCCUCAUCCUGAAGGUAAGGACUAUUUCCAAGGCAAAUGUAGUGUAAGGGAAUUGGUUCUGAAAGAGGAAAACUUACUGGUUUUCAAGGCCCAGCUAGGGUUGUGUUCUAAUCUCCUUGGGAAGUUGAGAGCAGGAAGGUACAAAGGUUCUUCUUCGCCUUCUGCCCCUUUAUCAUGUAAAGAACAAGGAUGAAGGACCAUGCUCUGAAAUAAGAAAAGACCGUCCUGAAAUACUCAUCAUCUGUCUUUUUUAUUAGAAGUCAAUUUUCCAUUGUCUUUCCAAAUAAGAGAGACCUUAGAGGAAGUUAGCUGAACAUGGAAAUUUAAUUCUUUGGCUUUUUUUUUCUAUUAAUCAUCAGUUCAACCUUGCUUGGCAUUAAGUUUGUUAGUUCUGAACACCUAAGUAUUUGUGGCUUAGCUAUUAUGGAUACAAGAUAUUUUUCAGACCAGCAGCCACGUUCCUGGUUUUGGCAGAAAAUGAUAGUGUUGUAGUUCAAGUAGCAGUGUAUUUUCCCUAUAAAGCUCACACUAGCACCGAAGCAGAAUCAUAGCAUCAGUUAAACAUAUACUGCAGUUCAAGAAUGAUAAUGCAUCUUGGGGUCUGAGGCAUAUCAGCUCUUGUUUCAGAGCAUCUGUGUUACUCAGACAGAAACAGACCAGACAGUUUUACAGGCUCCAGCACCUCUUUCUUACCUUCAUUCACCCAGGCCAGGCAGCUGGUAAAUUAGCAGAAGUCUCGGCACCCAUUUGACAUCCGUUGUCAUCAUGCCUUCCAGAGGACUCUAUCAAGCCACAAAAACUAAUCCCUGGCAUAUUACAGAGGUACUUUGUCACUGCACUUCCUUUCAGACUCCAUUUCAUCCUUCAUACUUAACAGGACUGAUAUCUGAGGUCAUUCUCAUUCUGUAUCUAUAGUGGGCAUCUUAUAGCAGUUGGCUCAUUGCAUGUGGAGAGAAUGUCAGUAAAUACUUGAAUCUGCAUGGCAGUUUGCUGACGUGUAUGCAAGAGCAAGGAGCGAGGAAUGCAGCAAGUUACUUGUACAUACAGUAGGUUUCCUUAGGUCUUGUGGGCACAUCCCUUGUAAUUUAUAUGUAUAUCUGUUGUACUGAAGCAUUUGGGGAAAUACUUGUAUAGAAAGUAUGUAUGUCAUAUGUCAAAGGAAAUGCUUUCUGUCCCCUGCCAAUGUUGUAUUUGUGGGUAUUUAUAGUUGUAUGUAUGUAUGUACAUCAAUGUGUAGAUUGUGUAUCAGUAUAUGGUAUAUGUAUGUUGAAAUUAUUUUUGUCUUUUAGCAACCAGUAUAAUAUG